rnacentral:rRNA from 1 species
UAUGGCCUACGGGGGGCAGCAGUAGGGAAUAUUGCUCAAUGGGGGAAACCCUGAAGCAGCAACGCCGCGUGGAGGAUGAAGGUUUUAGGAUUGUAAACUCCUUUUGUGAGAGAAGAUAAUGACGGUAUCUCACGAAUAAGCACCGGCUAACUCCGUGCCAGCAGCCGCGGUAAUACGGAGGGUGCAAGCGUUACUCGGAAUCACUGGGCGUAAAGAGUGCGCAGGCGGGGUUGUAAGUCAACUUUGAAAUCCUGUAGCUUAACUA